GUUGAAGCAUCAGCUCCUAUACAAUCACCAAAGUUAAGCAACAUCAAGCCUGGUCAGUACCUAAAUGGGUGACUGCUUGGGAAUACCAGGUGCUGUAA